rnacentral:rRNA from 1 species
CUCAAAGAUUAAGCCAUGCAUGUCUAAGUGGAGUGUUAUACAGCGAAUCUGCGAACGGCUCAUUACAACAGAUAUAAUUUACUUGUUCUAUUCCUUUAAACGGAUAACUGAGGUAAUUCUUGAGCUAAUACGUGCACAAAGCCCAGGACUUCACGUCUUGGGCGCACUUAUCCUUGCAAAAUCAAUCUUGUUUUUUGCUAACUCUGGAUAACCAAGCUUAUCGAAUGACUUCAAGUCGUCGAAUUUACAUUCAAGUAUCUGCCUUAUCAACUAUCGUUGGUAGUGUAUUGGACUACCAUGGUGUUGACGGGUAACGGAGAAUCAGGGUUCGACUCCGGAGAGGGAGCCUUAGAAACGGCUACCAUGUCUAAGGACAGCAGCAGGCGCGCAACUUAUCCACUGUUCAUUGAACGAGAUAGUGACGAGAAAUAACAAGCCGUGUCUCUAUGAGGUUCGGCAUUGGAAUGGAUGCAAUCUAAACAAUUGCAUGAGUACCCACGAGAGGGCAAGUCUGGUGCCAGCAGCCGCGGUAAUUCCAGCUCUCGUAAUGUAUAGAAUUAUUGUUGCGGUUAAAAAGUUCGUAGUUGGAUUUUAAACCGUGAUGGGUCAGACCUAACGGUCUGUACUCAUAGCGGUGUUUCAACUUAGGCGGGGCAACUCGUCAAAGUUGGGGUUACUUUGAACGGCUUAAGUGCUCAAAGCGGGGCUUCGGCCCGAAUACCGGUGCAUGGAAUAAUGGAACAAGGUCGCGACCGAGUUUUAUUGGUUUUGUCGGUUGAGACAAUGGUUAACAGGAACAGCCGUGGGCACUCGUAUCGCUGCGUGAGAGGUGAAAUUCGUGGACCGUAGCGAGACGCCCGAAAGCGAAGGCAUUUGCCAAGAGUGUUUUCAUUAAUCAAGAACGAAAGUCAGAGGUUCGAAGGCGAUUAGAUACCGCCCUAGUUCUGACCGUAAACGAUGCCAACUAUCAAUCCGCCAGUGGCUUUCAGUCAUUGGCGGGCGGAUCGACGGAAACGAAAGUGUUUCGGUUCCGGGGGAAGUAUGGUUGCAAAGCUGAAACUUAAAGGAAUUGACGGAAGGGCACCACCAGGAGUGGAGCUUGCGGCUUAAUUUGACUCAACACGGGAAACCUCACCCGGCCAGUACAUCAUAAGGAUUGACAGAUUGAAAGCUCUUUCAUGAUUUGAUGAAUGGUGGUGCAUGGCCGUUCUUAGUUCGUGGCGUGAGUCGUCUGCUUAAUUGCGAUAACGAGCGAGACUCCGACUGCUAAAUACCCAAGAAAUUUUUUUGUUUCUCCGGGUUCUUAGCUGGAUUCGAGACUCCAAGUCUCAAGAAAUGGAGCAAUAACAGGUCUGUGAUGCCCUUAGAUGUUCGGGGCCGCACGCGUGCUACAAUGAUAGUAACAGCGUGAUUGUCCUCGCCCGACAGGGCUUGGCAAACAGUUGAGAUAUUAUUAUGGCUGGAAUUGAGUGUUGAAAUUUUCUCUCAUGAACGAGGAAUUCCAAGUAAAUGCGAGUCAUCAACUUGCAUUGAUUACGUCCCUGCCCUUUGUACACACCGCCCGUCGCUACCCGGGACUGAGUUGUUUCGAGAAAUCUACGGACCGGCCGCUUCGGCGACUGGAAAGUAAAUUAAUCGCAGUGGCUUGAACCGGGCAAAAGUCGUAACAAGGUAGC